rnacentral:lncRNA from 1 species
GGUCCCCUUUACAAGAAGCCUGGUAGAUGCUUCCUGCGAGCGUGCAAAGUCAACGGUGCAAGGGGCUGGCCCCUGUUUUUGCAAGACGGCGGGCCAAUGUGGCCGUUGGGGACACCCUUGGUGGGCCUACCGGGACCCGCCUGGAGCUUGAGAUCCACGCAUGGGAAUGGCAUUACCUGAGGAGGUGGACAGGGGAGCUUUGCAGGGAGGCUGGCCGAGGGCUCUCAGAAGCUGCGUGGGGGAGACCUGCUCCUGACUCUGUCUUCGGCCUGUGACCCCGAGUUGGGAUCUAUGGAAUUUUACUGGCCGCGUUCCUGAGAAGAAUGCUUCGUGUUUCAGGGUCACCUGCCCAUGGCUAUCUGAGCCACCCGAAGGAAAACGUGGGUGAGGGACACGUGGUCAAUAAGAACGUCGCAUCGUGUUCCUGGUGGGAUCUGCGGUGGAGAUAUCGGAACCACGUUUUCAAGGGAAGGUCAUACUUAGCGGCAACAAUGUGCUUUUUAGUGCUUCGUUCUUAACACAUUCGAAGGGGGCCUGUCCGCUCCUCGGCCCACGGGAGAUGCCAGCUUGGUCACGUGCAAGAAACAUGACCUGCUCAGGUGAGCGCUCUGAGGGCCCAGGACACCACGGGGAGCCAGCGGCGAGGUGCAGUUGGAUAAUAUAAACCUAUGAAAUUCCAUAUUUUCUCACUGAUACUACCAGCGUCUAUGAAGCCAACCACGUCAAAGUGCCUCCAACCCUAGCAGACGUCCUUCCUCCGUGGACUCGUAGAAGGUAGCAGCCCACCCUCCCCUUUCCCCCCAGCUUAUGGAAACAAUUUACGAAGAUAAAUCUCUACAGGAUGACUGCGUUAAAUAUUUAAUUAGUUCUCCGAACAAACAGGAGAAUCUACGACUCCAAAGGAAAAUAAAAAGGGAAAGCAGAUUCUUCA